rnacentral:rRNA from 1 species
AUUGUUAGUCAAGAAACUAACAAGGUAUUCCCCUAGUAACUGCGAGUGAAGCGGGAAAAGCUCAAAUUUAAAAUCUGGCGGUCUUUGGCUGUCCGAGUUGUAAUCUAGAGAAGUGCUAUCCGCGCUGGACCGUGUACAAGUCUCCUGGAACGGAGCGUCAUAGAGGGUGAGAAUCCCGUCUUUGACACGGACUACCAGGGCUUUGUGAUGUGCUCUCAAAGAGUCGAGUUGUUUGGGAAUGCAGCUCUAAAUGGGUGGUAAAUUCCAUCUAAAGCUAAAUAUUGGCGAGAGACCGAUAGCGAACAAGUACCGUGAGGGAAAGAUGAAAAGAACUUUGGAAAGAGAGUUAAACAGUACGUGAAAUUGUUGAAAGGGAAACGCUUGAAGUCAGUCGCGUUGGCUGGGGAUCAACCUUGCUCUUUUGCUUGGUGUACUUUCCAGUUGACGGGUCAGCAUCAAUUUUGACCGGUGGAUAAAGGUCAGGGGAAUGUGGCAUCCUCGGAUGUGUUAUAGCCCUUGGUUGCAUACAUCGGUUGGGAUUGAGGAACUCAGCACGCCGCAAGGCCGGGUCUUUGACCACGUACGUGCUUAGGAUGCUGGCAUAAUGGCUUUAAUCGACCCGUCUUGAAGG